UACGUAGGGUGCGAGCGUUAAUCGGAUUUACUGGGCGUAAAGCGUGCGCAGGCGGCCCGUUAAGACAGGUGUGAAAUCCCUGGGCUCAACCUAGGACUUGCGCUUGUGACUGGCGGGCUCGAGUACGGUAGAGGGGGGUGGAAUUCCUGGUGUAGCAGUGAAAUGCGUAGAGAUCAGGAGGAACACCGAUGGCGAAGGCAGCCCCCUGGGCCUGUACUGACGCUCAUGCACGAAAGCGUGGGGAGCAAACAGG
rnacentral:rRNA from 1 species